rnacentral:rRNA from 1 species
AUACGGAGGGCGCGAACGUUGCUCGGAAUCAUUGGGCGUAAAGCGCACGUAGGCGGCCUGAUAAGUCGGAUGUGAAAGCCCACGGCUUAACCGUGGAAGUGCAUUCGAAACUGUCAGGCUUGAGUAUGGGAGAGGGUUGCGGAAUUCCCGGUGUAGAGGUGAAAUUCGUAGAUAUCGGGAGGAACACCAGCGGCGAAGGCGGCAGCCUGGACCAAUACUGACGCUGAGGUGCGAAAGCGUGGGGAGCAAACAGGAUUAGAAACCCUAGUAGUCC